rnacentral:rRNA from 1 species
GUAGUCCACGCCGUAAACGAUGGGUACUAGAUGUUAGUGGGUCUUGCCCCGCUGGCGUCGUAGCUAACGCGUUAAGUACCCCGCCUGGGGAGUACGGCCGCAAGGCUAAAACUCAAAGAAAUUGACGGGGGCCCGCACAAGCGGUGGAGUAUGUGGUUCAAUUCGAUGCAACGCGAAAAACCUUACCUAGGCUUGACAUCCGGCGCUACUCUAUGAAAGUAGAGGUUCCCUUCGGGGACGCCGAGACAGGUGUUGCAUGGCUGUCGUCAGCUCGUGUCGUGAGAUGUUGGGUUAAGUCCCGCAACGAGCGCAACCCUCGGUAUUAGUUGCCAGCAUUAAGUUGGGCACUCUAAUACGACCGCUUGCCGAUAAGGCAGA